AUCAUAUUUUAUUUUAUAGCAUGGAAAAAUGUAUUGGAAUUUUAUUUAAAAAAAUCCAAAAUGAUGAAUUCCCUCUAAUAGAAAUUAAGAUUGCCUACAGAAUUCCCUGUGCUGCCUUUGCAGGUUCCACUAGUCCAUCAUGGUCAGUGCUUUCCAUACUUUCCCACAAGUCCCAAAAUAUGUUUACAAGAUAAUGUGAUGACGACAAAUCCUGAGCCUGAGCAGCCUGAGCAAUAUGGCCUGGCCACGUGGGAGAAUUGGAAAUACGUGCAGAUGGGAGAGAGGCGCUGCGAGAGACGAGACGAGACGAGACCAGACCCCCGUCACCCAUACGAUUCCCAUUCCGAUGGUCGUCGUCGUAGCGUCACGUCGAUUCGACCGACCGGCCAUGCAAACAAGGCGAGAGAGAUCUCUGAGAGAGUGAGAGAGAGAGAUAGACUGACAGAGAGAGGGGGGGUAGCAACGGCAACGCGCUCUCUGAUACGUCGACAACAGACAACAUCAACAUCGCUGGGCAUCGGCUGGCUAUAUAUACAUAUGCUCACUUUCGAUGUAUUUCAUUUUUUCUUUCGUUUUCAUUCGCUGUGCGAUUUGAAAAACGUUUAAACAAAAACUCGACAACCAGCAACAACAUCCACACGGCGGGCGGGUCUUCUGCACACACACACACACAUCCACACUCAUACACACUGCGACAGAGA